UACGUAGGGUCCGAGCGUUGUCCGGAAUUAUUGGGCGUAAAGGGCUCGUAGGCGGUUUGUCGCGUCGGGAGUGAAAACCUUGGGCUUAACUCAGGGCUUGCUUUCGAUACGGGCAGACUAGAGGUAUGCAGGGGAGAACGGAAUUCCUGGUGUAGCGGUGGAAUGCGCAGAUAUCAGGAGGAACACCGGUGGCGAAGGCGGGUCUCUGGGCAGUAACUGACGCUGAGGAGCGAAAGCGUGGGGAGCGAACAGG
rnacentral:rRNA from 1 species